CCUACGGGAGGCAGCAGUGGGGAAUUUUGGACAAUGGGCGCAAGCCUGAUCCAGCAAUGUCGCGUGCAGGAUGAAGGCCUUCGGGUUGUAAACUGCUUUUGUACGGAACGAAACGGCUUCUCCUAAUACGAGAGGCUAAUGACGGUACCGUAAGAAUAAGCACCGGCUAACUACGUGCCAGCAGCCGCGGUAAUACGUAGGGUGCAAGCGUUAAUCGGAAUUACUGGGCGUAAAGCGUGCGCAGGCGGUUAUAUAAGACAGAUGUGAAAUCCCCGGGCUCAACCUGGGACCUGCAUUUGUGACUGUAUAGCUAGAGUACGGUAGAGGGGGAUGGAAUUCCGCGUGUAGCAGUGAAAUGCGUAGAUAUGCGGAGGAACACCGAUGGCGAAGGCAAUCCCCUGGACCUGUACUGACGCUCAUGCACGAAAGCGUGGGGAGCAAACAGGAUUAGAUACCCUGGUAGUCCACGCCCUAAACGAUGUCAACUGGUUGUUGGGUCUUCACUGACUCAGUAACGAAGCUAACGCGUGAAGUUGACCGCCUGGGGAGUACGGCCGCGAAGGUUGAAACUCAAAGGAAUUGACGGCUGAGAGNGCGACGACGACGACGAGGGGAGGAGG
rnacentral:rRNA from 1 species